rnacentral:rRNA from 1 species
GAUGAACGCUGGCGGCGUGCCUAACACAUGCAAGUCGAGCGAACAGACGAGGAGCUUGUUCCUUUGACGUUAGCGGAGGACGGGUGUGUAACACGUGGAUAACCCACCUAUAUGUCUGGGAUAAUCUCGGGAAACCGGAUCUAAUACCGGAUAAUAUAUUGAACCGCAUGGUUCAAUAGUGAAAGACGGCUUUGCUGUCUCUUAUAGCUGCAUCCGCGCGGCAUUAGCUAGUUGGUAAGGUAACGGCUUACCAAGGGGACGAGGCGUAGCCGACCUGAGAGGGUGGUCGGCCACAUGGGAAGGUAGGCAGGGUCCAGACGCCUACGGGAGGCACCAGUAGGGAAUCUUCCGCAAUGGGCGAAAGCAUUACGGAGCAAGCCCGCGUGAGUGAUGAAGGUCUUCGGAGCGGAAAGCUCUGUUAUUGGGGAAGAACAGAUGUGGAAGGAACUGUGGACGUCUUGACGGUACCUAAUCAGAAAGCCACGGCUAACUACGUG